GUGAACCUGCGGAAGGAUCAUUGUCGAAUCCUGCAAAGCAGACGACCGCGAACUCGUGUAACUCCCGGGCACCGGGGGAGGUGGUUGGGGGGCAAUCUUUGCCUCUCCCCGUCCCCCGGUGCUCCCCGUGCGCUGGUCGCACGGUAAAAAACUUAACUCCGGCGCGGAAAGCGCCAAGGAAAACGUAAACGGAUUGCCUGCACCCCCUGAGCCCCGUCCGCGGUGUGCACGGGAGGUGUACGGGCGUCUAUCGUAACCAAAACGACUCUCGGCAACGGAUAUCUCGGCUCUCGCAUCGAUGAAGAACGUAGCGAAAUGCGAUACUUGGUGUGAAUUGCAGAAUCCCGUGAACCAUCGAGUCUUUGAACGCAAGUUGCGCCCGAAGCCAUUAGGCCGAGGGCACGUCUGCCUGGGCGUCACGCAUCGCGUCGCCACCCCACACGCUGUGCGGGGUGACGGAUGUUGGCCUCCCGUGUCUAUGAGGUGCGGCCGGCCUAAAUGCGAGUCCUCGGUAAGGGACGUCACGACAAGUGGUGGUUGAAUGCCUCAACUCGAGUGCUGUCGUGCCGAUGCCCCGUGCCGAAGUCGGGCUCACGUGACCCUUUAGCGAGCCCCUUGGGGGCAAGCCUCGACCGCGACCCCAGGUCAGGCGGGAUUACC
rnacentral:rRNA from 1 species